ensembl:lncRNA
GAUCGUUGGUGUUUUUCUGGAUUCUCAAUGAUUGCUAAGAAUAGAGUCAAGGAGGUUUGAUAGAAAGAACCUGGGUCCUAAAUCAAACGACCUGAAUUUGGGGCCGGAGCCAGCCACCUGGUUCAUUCCUUUACUCUUUCAUUUAUCAAACAUUUCUUGAACACCUCCCAUGUGCCAGACCCAGAGAUAGGCACUGGGGACACAUCUGUGAUCAAGAUGGAUGAGUCUCUGUCCACACGGAGCAUACAUUUUUGUGAGGAAGACAGACAAGUUAUCAGGCAGCUACAAAGACGUAUGAGAAGAGCAAUGAUGGCGUCAAAAGGUGAGGAGAGUCUAUAAGAAACCUACACCACCGAGACGUGGGUAUGCAAGAGAGUGAAGGAGCUUCGGGAAAAGCCAUUUGCAGGAAGUGACAUCUAAAUAGAGAGCUGAAGGAUGACAAUGACUAGCUGGGGAGCUCACAGAAAUCACCACCUCAUUGAGUCCCCGUUUCUUCUCUCUCAAAUUGGAACGCUCAUAACAGUCCUGACUGACCUGCAUUAGGGGGAGGCUGUGAGGAUCCAUAAGCAGAUUUUGGUGGUAAACGCUUUGCUGAACUGAUUGGAGUCUGUUGCUUGCACGGGUGAACUAGGACCACCCCGAGCCAUGGAACGACUGUGCCUCCGCCGGCUCCCUCACAGAUACCUGCCCUUGAUCAGGAGAGAAGCACUGACAGAUGGGAGCAGAUCGAUUUGUGUUGGAGUUCCGAUGACUUGCAUGGCUUACACCACUGUCCAAGUAACGCUAAUCCCCUCUCAGACGAGAAGUCAGGGCAGCCUAGCAGACUUGCAAAAGCCAGAGGUUUAAGUGGCAACCUCAUCAGUUCACCAGCAUUUAUUUGGGCGUGUAUCUCCCUUCUUUAAUAUAGACUGGGUGAGAAAACUUGUUUCAAAGAGAAGGAAACCAAAAGCAAAAGAAAUUAACUGGCUAUGCCAAAGGUCUUCUUCAGUCAUUACUUGAUUCAAUAAACAUUGAAGACCUUUGUGCAGGCCUAAAUGCUGCGGGAAAUAUGAAGAUGAAUAAGACGUAGCCCUUCUCCUAAAGAAUCUCAUAGCUUGAAACUUGCAUUAAUAAUGACAAAGCCACAUCAAAAUUCAUCAGUGUCACACGAAAGUUUCUGCAAGGAUGCAGUGUAGGUUCUAAGGAGGGAGACACUGCCACCAGCUUGGGGAAGGGUCUUAGGGAAGGCGUUCAGGAAAAGGCAGGUAUGAAAUUGGCUUUGGUCUGAAGUUGGGAAGGGAGUAAGGAGGAGAGAAACUGCAGGGGGAUGUCAGUGGCCAGAUCUGUGUUUUGUGAAGAUCACUGUGGCAACGAUGUGGAGAACAGGUUGGAGAAGGGAAAGAAUGACGUUUAUAACAACAGCAAUAGUAGCAGCGAACAUUUAAAUAAGUACUCAUUAUGCCAGGCAUCCACUAAGUGCUUGACCCACUUUAUCUCAUGUAAUCCUUAAAACAACCUAGGAGACGGGAGUUAUCAUCAUCUCCAUUUUGUAGGGAAAAGCAUGGCAGAGCCUAGACUAACAAAAGAGUUUUUAUCCUUGGCUAUGAGAAGCCAGGUAAGAAAACGAAAAGGUCCUUCUCAAACAGGGACGGUGGGAUAGGAAAGACUUGGAUUUUGGAGAAUGAGAGAUGAAGGCAAACUUUGUUUCUAAGAAUAGGCCUCCUAAGUGUUUGAGCCAAAAACUUCAUAAACACAAAAACACCUCUGAGAUCCUAUUCUGUCUAAAGGGCCACGACUUAGAUGGAAGGUACCUUGUCAAGUAAGUCUAACUCCUGUGUAGGAACCGUGUCCUUUGUCUUAUCACUGUCUACCCAGAUUCUGGCACUCUGCCCGGCAAAUAGUGCGUGCUCAAACUGUUUUGAAUGAGAGAAUUUUCACCUCUGUCAUUCAACAUUCACUGGAACCUGGGGCAAUGCAUUCCGUUUCCCCUCCCCCACACCCACACUUCAGUUUCCCUAUCUUUACAUUAGAGCAGGCUGGAGCUCAUUAACUCAUUAUAUAUUAAGGUGAAUAUGCCAUUACACAGGAAAAUUACCUAGGGCAAAGGUAGGGAGACUUUAGUGGCUAAGGGGAGUGUCUCUACCGGCCCGGGGUGGGCACUCGUUUUUUUUUUUUUUUUUGAUACGCUGAGUCUUAUCGUUUGGCAAUCUAUGCAGAAAAGGGCAGAAGACUAGUUUCAAAUUCCUUAAGACAGGUUCCUUCACCAUCUAAAGGCACUGGAGUUCUUGAUACGGAAAUGCUCCCAUAGAGAUGUCUUCGUCCAGGACACCGCCCUUAAAAUUAGACGGAGGAAGACUCCCUUCUCCUUGAAGGUGCUUGACAAGCCUUGUCCCCAAAGGGGGUGGAGGUAGAGAAAGAAUGCGCCCACACCUCGCACGUCU